GAAUGAUGAUAACUUUAUUUAACCACGCUAACAUUGUCAGCGAAAGUUGGUUUCCACAAUUUCAACGAAGUGGGAAUAAACAUGAAAAUAAACAUGGGUAAACAUGAGGACAAAAAUAAUGUAUAAUUUGUGUUUCUAAUUUAUGUAACUAAUUGUAAGUGGUAUAAAUAAUUUUUUUUUGUUUUGUUUUGUUUUGUUUUGUUUUGUUGUUGUAAGCGAAGCGAGCGCUAAGUGAGGUGAGUGCCAAGCGACGCGAGUGCUAAAGGUUCAAUAACAACAGAGAAUUACGCCAACAACAUCAAAAUAGGGAAUCGGUUAAUGUCGGGCCUACUAGGUCCAGCCAUACUGUCAAAACCACGGUAUUAAUUGGCGACUCGAUGAUAAAACAACUUGACUGUAAACGGGCGGCACUCUCGUGGAUCGAGAAUUAGAAACGAAACUUAUCGGGGAGCCAAAGUCGAUGCAACUAUGUAAACUAUUACUAUGUAAAGCCGUACUUGACAACAAAACCGGACAGAAUUAUAUUACAUGUUGGGACAAAUGACAUUGGUACCAAGCACUCGCCUGCUAAGCGAGGCGAGUGCUAGGGGAGGCGAGUGCUAAGCGAGUGCUAAUUAAGCGAGUGCUAAGCAAGGCGAGUGCUAAGCAAAGCCAGUGCUAAGCUAG
rnacentral:lncRNA from 1 species